CAGGAUGAACGCUAGCUACAGGCCUAACACAUGCAAGUCGAGGGGCAGCAUAGGGUUGCUGCAAACUCUGAUGGCGACCGGCGCACGGGUGAGUAACGCGUAUCCAACCUGCCCAUGGCUAGGGAAUAGCCCGUUGAAAAAGCGGAUUAAUGCCCUAUGGGGUCCUUUGAAGGCAUCUAACGAGGACUAAAGGUUUACCGGCCAUGGAUGGGGAUGCGUCCGAUUAGGUAGUUGGCGGGUAACGGCCACCAAGCCUUCGAUCGGUAGGGGUUCUGAGAGGAAGGUCCCCCACAUUGGAACUGAGACACGGUCCAAACUCCUACGGGAGGCAGCAGUGAGGAAUAUUGGUCAAUGGGCGGAAGCCUGAACCAGCCAAGUAGCGUGCAGGGAAUGACGGCCCUAUGGGUUGUAAACUGCUUUUAUGUGGGAAUAAAGAGGCCCACGUGUGGGCUGUUGCAUGUACCGCAUGAAUAAGGACCGGCUAAUUCCGUGCCAGCCGCAGC
rnacentral:rRNA from 1 species